rnacentral:rRNA from 1 species
GAUGAACGCUGGCGGCGUGCCUAAUACAUGCAAGUCGAGCGAACAGAUAAGGAGCUUGCUCCUUUGACGUUAGCGGCGGACGGGUGAGUAACACGUGGGUAACCUACCUAUAAGACUGGAAUAACUCCGGGAAACCGGGGCUAAUGCCGGAUAACAUUUAGAACCGCAUGGUUCUAAAGUGAAAGAUGGUUUUGCUAUCACUUAUAGAUGGACCCGCGCCGUAUUAGCUAGUUGGUAAGGUAACGGCUUACCAAGGCAACAAUACGUAGCCGACCUGAGAGGGUGAUCGGCCACACUGGAACUGAGACACGGUCCAGACUCCUACGGGAGGCAGCAGUAGGGAAUCUUCCGCAAUGGGCGAAAGCCUGACGGAGCAACGCCGCGUGAGUGAUGAAGGUCUUCGGAUCGUAAAACUCUGUUAUUAGGGAAGAACAAAUGUGUAAGUAACUGUGCACGUCUUGACGGUACCUAAUCAGAAAGCCACGGCUAACUACGUG